rnacentral:rRNA from 1 species
CGGGACGUAUUCCCGCGCCAUGGCUGAUCCGCGAUUACUAGCGAAUCCAACUUCAUGGAGUCGGGUUGCAGACUCCAAUCCGAACUGGGACGAGCUUUCGAGAUCUGCAUCCUGUCGCCAGGUAGCUUCCCUCUGUACUCGCCAUUGUAACACGUGUGUCGCCCCGGACGUAAGGGCCGUGCUGAUUUGACGUCAUCCCCCCCUUCCUCACACCUUGCGGUGGCAGUCCCGCUAGAGUCCCCAGCUUAACCUGAUGGCAACUAACGGCAAGGGUUGCGCUCGUUAUGGCACUUAAGCCGACACUUCACAGCACGAGCUGACGACAACCAUGCAGCACCUCGACAGAUGUCCGAAGACUUGAAUAUCUCUACUCAAUUCAUCUGCCGUUCGAGCCCGGGUAAGGUUCCUCGCGUAUCAUCGAAUUAAACCACAUGUUCCUCCGCUUGUGCGGGCCCCCGUCAAUUCCUUUGAGUUUCAACCUUGCGGUCGUACUCCCCAGGUGGAUGACUUAUCGCUUUCGCUUGGCCACCGACUGUGUAUCGCCGACGGUUAGUCAUCAUCGUUUACAGCGUGGACUACCAGGGUAUCUAAUCCUGUUUGAUCCCCACGCUUUCGUGCCUCAGCGUCAAUAGCGGAUUCGUGAGAUGCCUUCGCAAUCGGUGUUCUGUGUGAUAUCUAUGCAUUUCACCGCUACACCACACAUUCCUCCCACGGCAUCCG